AAACUGAUAAAAGCUGAACUUUCAGUCAGUGCAUGUGUUCAGUGACUAAUACAGCUGCAGUGUACCCUAUAACUGUUUUACUGAGGUGAUGGAGAUGCUGUAUGGACUCCUACUGAUGAUUAUUUCAUCUGUUAGUGGUCAGUCUUUGACCUCCUCAGAUUCUGUGGUGAAAAAGCCUGGAGACUCAGUGACUCUGUCCUGCACUGUGUCUGGAUUCUCAAUGAGCAGCUACUGGAUGCACUGGAUCCGUCAGAAACCAGGGAAAGGACUGGAGUGGAUUGGAUUUAUAGACGGUGGCUCAAGUGCAUAUUAUGCUCAGUCUCUACAGGGCCAGUUCUCCAUCACCAAAGACACCAGCAAAAACAUGCUGUAUUUAGAGGUGAAAAGCCUGAAGACUGAAGACACAGCUGUUUAUUACUGUGCUAGAGACUCACAGUUACACAAAAGACUGCAGGGCUGAGCAAAAACUAUUCAUGCAUCACAUCACAAAAGCAGUUCUACUGCAAACAUCCCCAAAAUAUAAAAUAUUACUUGUUUUUAGAUGUUAUUCAAAACACUUAAGCAGUUCUUUGGUAGCAUUUUAAAAUAAUGGUCCAUCAGGUAACUAUGCAGGAAGAAAUGCAGGACAAAU